UACGUAGGGGCAAGCGUUGUCCGGAUUCAUUGGGCGUAAAGAGCGUGUAGGCGGCCAGGUAGGUCGGUUGUGAAAACUGGAGGCUCAACCUUCAGACGUCGACCGAAACCAUCUGGCUAGAGUCCGGGAGAGGAGAGUGGAAUUCCUGGUGUAGCGGUGAAAUGCGCAGAUAUCAGGAAGAACACCCGUGGCGAAAGCGGCUCUCUGGAACGGUACUGACGCUGAGACGCGAAAGCGUGGGAGCGAACAGG
rnacentral:rRNA from 1 species